CUCAUGGAUCCGCUGAUAAUAUCCCGGAAGCAGCGCGACAACAAUUCUUCUUCCUCAAAGCAUAUAUUUUCUCCAAGCGGUCAACAAAGUGUUUGGUCCAUUUGGAAGGCCCGGAUGGGUGCGCGCGGCGGAGGUCGGGUGCGGGGCGUCGCUGUCGCCGUCGAUGACGCGGUUCGGGAUCACCGCGUGCUUCAACGCCAUGUCGUCGGCCGUCUCGAAGGCCGCCGCCACCAACGCUACGUCGAGCGUCGUCCACGCGGUGCCGUGGACUGAGCCUGUUGUGUCCGCCGAGUGGCUGCACGCCAACCUCAGGGACCCCAAUGUGAAGGUACUUGAUGCCUCUUGGUCAGAAGAUGAUGGCGA